rnacentral:tRNA from 1 species
UGAAGUGGCUCAGUUGGUAGAGCAGCUGAUUCGUAAUCAGCAGGUCGUGGGUUCAAGUCCCAUCUUCA